rnacentral:rRNA from 1 species
CACGUAGGGUGCAAGCGUUGUCCGGAAUUAUUGGGCGUAAAGAGCUUGUAGGCGGUUCGUCGCGUCGGCUGUGAAAACCCGAGGCUCAACCUCGGGCCUGCAGUCGAUACGGGCGGACUGGAGUUCGGCAGGGGAGACUGGAAUUCCUGGUGUAGCGGUGAAAUGCGCAGAUAUCAGGAGGAACACCGGUGGCGAAGGCGGGUCUCUGGGCCGAUACUGACGCUGAGGAGCGAAAGCGUGGGGAGCAAACAGG